CAAAGGUUUGGUCCUGACUUUACUAUCAAUUGUACCCUAAUUUACACAUGCAAGUCUCCGCCUCCCCGUGAGAAUGCCCUUAAUGUCCUGCCCGGAAUUAAGGAGCAGGUAUCAGGCACAUCUAAAGAUUACUAGCCCAUAACGCCUUGCUCAGCCACACCCCUACGGGUAUUCAGCAGUGAUAAAAUUUAAGCCAUAAGUGAAAGCUUGACUUAGUUAAGGGAAAGAGGGCCGGUAAAACUCGUGCCAGCCACCGCGGUUAUACGAGAGGCCCAAAUUGAUGAAAAACGGCGUAAAGCGUGGUUAAGAAAAGAGAGAAAAUACGGCCGAACAGCUUCAAAGCAGUUAUAC
rnacentral:rRNA from 1 species